rnacentral:rRNA from 1 species
AGAGUUUGAUUCUGGCUCAGGACGAACGCUGGCGGUGCGCCUAAUGCAUGCAAGUCUACUACUUGUGACUUCGGUCACGCUAUGGUGGUGGCAGACGGCUUAGUAACACGUAAGUAAUCUACCCUCAAGUGGGGGAUAAUCCGAAGAAAUUCGGCCUAAUACCCCAUAAUGUUUUAGUAUAUAUGUAUUGAAAAGAAAGAUUUAUCGCUUUUGGAGGAGCUUGCGGCCUAUCAGGUAGUUGGUAAGGGUAAUGGCCUACCAAGCCAAAGACGGGUAACCGAAGUGAGAGCUUGAUCGGUAAGAGGGGGACUGAGACACGGCCCCCACUCCUACGGGAGGCAGCAGCAGGGAAUCUUGCGCAAUGGACUGUAUGGUCUGACGCAGCGACACCGCGUGGAGGAUGAAUGCUUUCGGGUUGUAAACUCCUUUUCUUAGGGAAGAUGAUGACGGUACCUAAGGAAUAAGCAUCGGCUAACUACGUGCCAGCAGCCGCGGUAAUACGUAGGAUGCGAGCGUUGUCCGGAAUUAUUGGGCGUAAAGGGCGUCUAGGUUGAUUAAUAAGUCCUGUGUGAAAUCUCUUGGCUUAACCAAGAAAUGUCACAGGAAACUAUUAAUCUAGAGGUCAUCAGAGGUAAGUGGAAUUCACGGAGUAGUGGUGAAAUGCGUAGAUACCGUGAGGAACACCAGAGGCGAAAGCGGCUUACUAGGAUGAACCUGACACUAAAGCGCGAAAGCGUGGGUAGCAAACCGGAUUAGAUACCCGGGUAGUCCACGCCAUAAACGAUGGAUACUAGUUAUAGGAGGCAUUGACCUUUCUGUAACGAAGCUAACGCAUUAAGUAUCCCGCCUGGGGAGUACGACCGCAAGGUUAAAACUCAAAGAAAUUGACGGGGGCC